UUUGGCUACAGUCAAGCACUUGCUUUGUGUUCCUUUUCAUUUUUUCUGGCAACAUUGAAUUAGGCCACCACUUGUAGGUUCUUGUAGGUUCACCACUCACUUCUAAGUUCUUGGAUUGUGACACAACAUGGACAGAAUAUUGGAUCACAAAGCAUUUCCCAGUGGAUGUAACUAGAGUAGCUACUUCUGAGGCCUACAAAAAAGGAACAACCAGUGCUUGAUUUGGUAAAAUUCAUCACAGUGGGACCACAAUGUGGUGAAAUUUAUUAUAGUAGAGCUAUAAUGUUGUAGAGCUAUUCCACAACACACUUUUUCUGUGUGUGAAAUGCUGGAGGACACAGAGAAGAUGUGCUUUGAAGGCACCUUGCACCCACUGUCAGUGAAGUGCUCUGGAUGGACCCUGAGAGCUUAACUUCAGCUUUGGUUCCUGAGAGUAGGACUUUUCCUCUUCGUGUCCUCAGUGCAACGUUGGACUUACCUAGACAGCCUGGACUUGGUCUGUGCUUUGCAUUUCUGCUGGGACAGCUCUGUGACUGCAAGAUGGACUUCCAGUCUUUGACAAACAUGGACAUACCAGCAAAAGGGUUGUUUGUACUGGCCAUACCCCUCAAAGACUGCUCUUACACCAGCUAAGUACUCCAGUGUAGGCAGUUUCAGUUGCAGAGUAAAUAUCUCACUGUAUUUUUUUUCAGAUGGGCUGUGACCACAGUCUUCUGUUUCAUUUAAGGGAAAGUAUUGUUUUGGUUUGAAAGCAGUGGAAGAAUCUCUAUUAAUUUUC
rnacentral:lncRNA from 1 species